CCAUCCCCGCCACCCCAGGCUCCCCGCGUAUCUAGGCCCCUCCUCCCCACCUCCCGCGGACCUAGCGACGUCACUGCGGCUCUGACGCGCGCUAAUGGAGGCACGGGCGUCCUCCGGGGAGGUCCCGGUCCUUGCAGCCCUCUGCCGCGUCCUUGGCCUUCCUCCAGGGGAACCUCGAUUUUCCAAAUUCGGGAAGGCCGGCUGUCCUUUUGCUACUGAUAAGGACGUGAGCGCAUGGCAAAAGAUUUUAACAAUGCCCGGAAAGAAAUAGCUGGACCCAAGAAAGAGACUAAUAAUAGCCGCCAGCUAGAGUUCUGCUCGCGUGUUCAGCGGUCUUAAGAACAAUAAUAACGACAACAACCAUAAUAGCCACCAUUUAUUGAGCGCUUACUCUGUACCAGGCACUGUGUUAAGCGCUUUGCAGGCAACAACCCUCGGAGGCGUCAGAUAGAAACGCGUCUCCAAGAAUCCGGUCGGGGACCCGGCAGCACGGUGCUCAGAAGGGAUGGAGCGGGGGCGGAGGCAGCGGGAGGGAUCCCGGGUCCCACCUGCAGAGCGACGGGCAGGCGCGGGGCUGAUGACUUGCCCGGAGCGGCCGGCAGAGGGCGCUGCCUCACGCGCUUCGGGUCCCACAGUCACCAGACCCCUGGGCGGGCGAGCUUCGACCUGCAGACCCACAGACUCAGAACGCCAAAGUAACGGUUUGUCCCAAUGGCUGGCGCCCCUCUGGCCCCUCACCUCAGCUCUGGGCCUGCUUUCCUAAUCACUCUUCAUCUUCAGUGCUCCUGCCACCCCACCAUCGGCCUCCCAAGCUUCCCCAGGCCCUGCAUUGCUGGUUUAAUCGCCUCUUGCUGAGAGGCAAGAACACUGAUCCCAUCCCUUUAAAAGGCCCAGGUGUUUGCAGGUCAAACUUGGCUUUCUCUCUCCUCGUGGGAUAAAUCAUCCACUUGGAAUAGGUAAUUUUCCUUCUUUCUCCAAAAUAGCAGGAGAGGAUGGGUAAGGAAGGAGCAGAUAAAUGAAAGGAUCUAUUUUCAUAGUUGCUACAGUGUAUUAAGUGCUUGUUUUGUGCUGAGCCCUUUCUGUGUCUUGACUCCUUAAUCAUCACUGCAGCCCUGAGAGGUGUGCAUCAUUAUUCUCAUUUGACAGGUGAGGUCACAAAACUGCUAAGUGGCAGUGCUGGCAAUCCACCAGGAGAAUGUGACUUUAAAAUCAUGCUCCCAUCACCCAGAAUGUACAAGCUGAUACAGUUGAACAGAAGAGGUAGGAUACAAAUCAUGCAAAAACAAACCGAAAUCUGUCUAUUCAGAGUACUUGGAAAUACCACAUGUGAAUUAGGGGCUUCAAUAGCUUUCUGAGCCCCCAUUUGGGAUUCAAUUGUCUAAAAAGAAAAACAAAACCUAAAGAUGCAAUGAGAAAAUAAGCACGAGGCUUUAGCUUUCUCUUGGAAGAGCAUCCGGAGAGGCCCACUCACUUUCUAUGGCUGGGCUCUGAGGAAAUAAAGGUGGUUCUAGGAAAAUCUGAAAAGUAUGAAAGGAAAAAAAAUCCCUUCUGUGGUUUUUACUUUAACCAAGCCUCAUUCUGCUAUUUGUGUUUUAUUUUAAAACUAAUGUGGCUCUCUCCACUCUUUAAAUUGGCACGUAAACAGCAAAAACAGAAGGAAGGCCAGCUACAAACUUUAAAUGUGGUGGGUUUUUCAGGAAGGAGGUACAUGACUUGAAGUGGAAAUGCAGAUUAAAUGAGGUGCCUUAAACAUUUCAAAGACAGACUUUCCACAAGGAAUUUAGAUCAUAAGCUCUUAGAACGGGAGCUUUGUCUGGGAUUGGGCUCGGUAUAGUGUCUAGAAUCUGUGAGUGCCCAAUAAAAAUGGAAAACGAAUCACA